UACGUAGGGACCGAGCGUUGUCCGGAUUCAUUGGGCGUAAAGAGCUCGUAGGCGGCUAUUCAAGUCGAACGUGAAAUCUCGGAGCUCAACUCCGAAACUGCGUUCGAUACUGGGUAGCUAGAGUCUGGUAGGGGGAUCUGGAAUUCCUGGUGUAGCGGUGGAAUGCGCAGAUAUCAGGAGGAACACCGGUGGCGAAGGCGGGAUCCUGGGCCAGUACUGACGCUGAGGAGCGAAAAGCGUGGGGAGCAAACAGG
rnacentral:rRNA from 1 species